rnacentral:rRNA from 1 species
CACGUAGGCACCAAGCGUUGUCCGGAUUUAUUGGGCGUAAAGAGCUCGUAGGCGGUUCGGUAAGUCGGGGGUGAAAACUUUGGGCUCAACCCAAAGCGUGCACUCGAUACUGCUGUGACUAGAGUUCGGUAGGGGAGUGGGGAAUUCCUAGUGUAGCGGUGAAAUGCGCAGAUAUUAGGAGGAACACCGGUGGCGAAGGCGCCACUCUGGGCCGAAACUGACGCUGAGGAGCGAAAGCGUGGGUAGCAAACAGG